CAGCGGCUUCUCCAAGUCUCUUUCAGCCCUAUCUUGAAGAUGCCGGGGAAGGAACUUGGGACCUUCUGCAUGCAAGCACGCAGGUGCUCUUCCCAGAGCAGCCCCAUCCCCUUUGGAUGCAGUGUUCACAUUUGGUCCCAUUCAGUUCAGUGGCACUUCUGAGUAAAGAGAGGAUUUCACUCAACCCUGGACAGCAGAUUCUGAAAAAGUGAUCUUCUGCAAAUGGAAAUUGUUCAUCCAAACUUGUUGGAAUUCAUCAUUCUGCAAAAUAAAUAUGCCAACAUAAUAUAACCCUGAAGUACAUUUACUGCUAAAUGGAAGUUCUAGCAUGACAAGAGAACUGUUGAAAAACUGCGAGAACUAGCUGAACCCGCACAGAGCAUCUAUGAGGGUCAGGGUGCCUUGCUUGGUUACUUUGUUUCCAACAUGUCCCCUGUGUCAUGCCCUUGAGCUCCGACAGCGAGGAGGAAGGGGAGGCUGCCAGCUUUCCGGCUGAGUCAGGAGUAUCUGAGGGGCAGAGCCCGACUGUCAGCGUUCCUGAGACAGCUGUGAUAGAUCCAGCUGAUGGUUUAGAACAGGCACAGCAGCCUGAGUCAGCAGAAAGUGUGAGAGACCAAUCGGAGGGAGAACUAGGCAUUGAAACACCGUUGACACCACAACAACGCAGGUGUUCAAAACGCAGGACGCAAUUAGAAGCUGUUAGGAGGAGCAAACGUCUAUCGCUGAGGGCUGACAAGCCGUAAAUUCCUACCAGCUGGGAGCUCUUGGCUUGCUCCAUAAAUUACAGCACCAGACUCCUACUCAUUGCUGAGAUUCAACGCACGUCAUUGAACGCAGCCAAGUCGUGAACGUCCCUGGCUGUGGGCCAGACCUUGACACCCUGCACCAGGACUCUCAGGUGUUUCCUUGAAUAGGCAAUGGGCUUUCCAAGUCUAGAGAGCAUAUUUAUCCCUACCUCUACCUAAGCCCCCACGUCACUCUUCAUUUGAGAAGCCCUGGUCCUUUUAGUACUCCUCUAGUCCCCAAGCCUCCAGCUAACCCUCUCUCAACCUUCUUAACUGCCAACCAACUAUCAACUAACUACUAACUGGGCCCCGCUCUCUCUCCCCAGCCUGAGGGUGGGGAGAAAGCAGCGGCAGCAGUGGGGAAGAAAACAGGGGGAGUGCCGAAAGGGAGGGGGAAGAACUAGAGGUGCAGAUGCUCUGCACCCGGGCCAGACAGCUAUCUUAUAUUUUACAUCUUUCUAUAACCAAAAAAAUUAAAACAUAUAUAAAUAACAUCCUUAACAACCAGUAUUGGACAAUACAAAAUGUCACCAGGUUGUUAUUCACACAUGGCUUCAUGCUGCGGGGUAAAUGUUGAGCAAAGCCACAUCAAAUCACACUUGUGGCAUUGAGGAAAGCAGCCCCUCCCCUCUGCUCUUGGUUUUGUUUUUUUUACAAGUUCACAUGGCAUGCCUCUGUGUUUUCCUUCAAGCCAAUGGGGGGUGCAUUUCAAACAUUUCAAACAUCUGCAUUUCAAAUGCAGUAUCUCUCUUAUGUUAAUGAUUCUAUGUCAGUACCUCUCCCUAUUUGCUGCAGAGUUUUCAGAAAAAGUAACUUAAAAAACAGUAUUUUAAAAAUGUGGAAAUACCUCGACAUGAGCUAGAAUUCACAAGAGAAAGCCUGACUUGUGUGUGGAGUGGGUCUAAAGAUCUUGAAGGGACUUCAGGGUAAAUUUGGGUAGUGUGUGAACUCACACUCUCUCCCCUGAAGGAGAUUCAGGGUAGAAACCCUGUCUGUAAAGCCUCCAGGACAACUGCCAUUUUAAGACUGAAUGGUACCACAACCUCUGCUAACGAUCUGUUAACUUUCCUCGCAGCAACAUGGUCCCACCACCAGGCAGCUAAAAUCAGCCAGAAGGGCAAAGGUCAAAUAAGAAUAUGGACAAAUUCAGUGAUCCAAGGAUCCUAUCCAGACUGAACAUGCUGAAAAGAUGCACAGUUAACUUACUGUUUUUCUUCUGAGAGAGAGCUUGGGUUCUCUUUUUAAGAACUGAUGCAUAAGAAACUGACCAACAUGUGGACAUUGUGCAUUCUAAGCCACCUACACUGUAUACAAGUGAGAAUUUUUUUUUUUAGCUCAACAAAACAUAUUUGUGAAUUUGUGUUGAUAAACAAAUAUGGAUUAUUCAACUAUUAUCCAACUAUUCAAAGACUCUACAGUAUUAAUUUACAUUAUGUAACACUAGGAAUCUGCAAGUCUAAACUACACAAAAUCGCUUACAAACAUAACAUGAUUAAAGUGUUAUCCACAGCCACAA